UCGAGAAUCUUCCGCAAUGGGCGCAAGCCUGACGGAGCGACGCCGCGUGUAGGACGAAGGCCCUAGGGUUGUAAACUACUGUCACGAAUUAUGAAAGCGGUGCAGUUAAUAGCUGUAGUGUUGACGUAAGUUCGGGAGGAAGCACCGGCUAACUCUGUGCCAGCAGCCGCGGUAAUACAGAGGGUGCAAACGUUGUUCGGAAUUACUGGGCAUAAAGCGUACGUAGGCGGCGCGACCAGUGCAUGGUGAAAUCCCACGGCUCACCCGUGGAACUGCUGUGCAUACUGUCGUGCUCGAGGACGGUAGGGGAGUGCGGAACUCUUGGUGGAGCGGUGAAAUGCGUAGAUAUCAAGAGGAACACCGAUGGCGAAGGCAGCACUCUGGUCCGUUUCUGACGCUGAGGUACGAAAGCCAGGGUAGCGAACGGGAUUAGAUACCCCCGUAGUCC
rnacentral:rRNA from 1 species